GAUGAACGCUGGCGGCGUGCCUAAUACAUGCAAGUCGAGCGAACGGACGAGAAGCUUGCUUCUCUGAUGUUAGCGGCGGACGGGUGAGUAACACGUGGAUAACCUACCUAUAAGACUGGGAUAACUUCGGGAAACCGGAGCUAAUACCGGAUAAUAUUUUGAACCGCAUGGUUCAAAAGUGAAAGACGGUCUUGCUGUCACUUAUAGAUGGAUCCGCGCUGCAUUAGCUAGUUGGUAAGGUAACGGCUUACCAAGGCAACGAUGCAUAGCCGACCUGAGAGGGUGAUCGGCCACACUGGAACUGAGACACGGUCCAGACUCCUACGGGAGGCAGCAGUAGGGAACCUUCCGCAAUGGGCGAAAGCCUGACGGAGCAACGCCGCGUGAGUGAUGAAGGUCUUCGGAUCGUAAAACUCUGUUAUUAGGGAAGAACAUAUGUGUAAGUAACUGUGCACAUCUUGACGGUACCUAAUCAGAAAGCCACGGCUAACUACGUG
rnacentral:rRNA from 1 species